GACCUCCCCGGGCCCCUCCCCCGGGCCCGCCCCUUCCCGGUUUGGGACCCCUUAGCGCCGAGGGUGCCCCCUGCACCCCAGGAGUUCACUCCUGCCUCCCAAGGGUAAGUUCUCCCGAGCGUUGACUUUUCAAGGACUCUUUCACCGGCCUCGCGGAGACCUUCCGUGGCUCCCCGCCCCCGGUCCCGUCCCUCCGACGUGGCUACUUUUCGGGGUGGGCAGUAUAAAGGGCCGGAGGCAGCGCGGGCCGAGACCCGAGACGUGGCGCGUCCGCCCUACCCGUCUAUGCUACAGUGCUUGAAUUUGGGCCAUAAGGCUCAACUGCCAGCCCAGAGCCAAGGAACAGGGUGGGGGCUGAAGGAGCAUCACCUGGAGGAGAGGCAAAGAUGCUGCUGGGGACCACAAGUGCCCUUUAAAGGAAACCAUGGGAGUGGUGGUGUUUAAGAUGUGAUCCAUGGCAUUUAAGAACUGAGAAGAAAAAGAAAAAAAAAAGAAACUUAAAAGGAAAAAAGAAAGCUUGAUCAUCUGAAUUAUCCCAUCAUUUUUUUUUCUUAGCACAGCUAGACAUUGCUUAAAAAAAAAAAAAAAAAAAAAAAAAAGUGAAGUUUGAUGACUCAGUGUGGUUGCCUAGAGUUAGAGCUCUUUUUUUUUUUUCCAUAUACUAUAAAUGACUUGGAAGACUCAUGAUUGUGGCUAUGGGUGACACCGUGAUGUCCCCAAAGUUUUGACAGAUGAAGAAUCUCAAGAUGGGGAGAUUUCAGGGAACUCACAGCCCCUACUACAUUCUCUUGAGCUUCACCAAGUUCGGUUUACGGUUCUUUUGCCCCAGGAAGCAUCCUGGUCCUCCCACGCAGAGCUCACUCUCUCAGUGCUUACCUGUAAGCAGACCAGUUCUGUUCCUAAAGCAACAGCCCAGACUCUUUGAAAGAAAGUGGCCUUGGCACAUUUGAGAAUGACCACAAGUGGGCGUGUUGCAAAGCAGGAGUUCCUGGUCCCUAUGCUGUGCUAGUCUGCACUGAAGACUCCAUCAAGGUCCCUUCUCUGACAUCUGAUUUCCACCUGGUUCUACCCACGGCUGCCUCACCUUUGCCAGGUAGAGGGAUGUGCUUUGUUGUUGCUGGUUGUUAAAUGGAAGCUGAUACAGAAUGACCUGCCCUCAGCAUUCCAGGUGAGUUCUUCUCACCUAUGGGUUCUCUUGAAUUCAUUUCCCAAAUGAGAACCAUAUCCCUCGACCUCAUGCCACAUUCAAGAAAGCAACCCAGUUAAGUCCAGUGGCCAAAGCAAUGAACGGCUCAAAAUGCAACCACCCAAGCCUACAUUCAACAAGACGUACUCACUAUCAGUUACAGGGGAUGUUUCAUAGCAGUUUUUUUUUUUUUUUCCUUUUCUUUUUUUUUUGGGGGGGGGGGCGGGGGAGUAUAUAGCCAUCCUUAAAAUUUCAGUAAGACAUUGUAUUUUACUUCAGCUAUAUAUACAGAAAACCAAAGUAUUCUAGAAAUCUAGAAAUAGUUUGCCUUAUCUUUUGGGUUAUAUUUCUAGAUAUAUUUUUCUAGCCACCCAGUUUCCUUAAGAUAAAACUGGUGUCCUCAAAACAGCCCAAGUUGUCUUUUAUAAGUUUGGUGCAGGGAAAGGGGAAAAUGCUAAGUUUAAAAGAUUUUUGGAAUAUCUACAGGAAAUGCAGAUGGUUUGUGGCAUGAAGAUAAAGCAUCCGUAUGGUUAGCUGAGUGUUAUUUUCUGACAUUGAGACUGGGAUAUAUCUUAAGUGCCUAUGAGUAAAGAAUGGGUAUUAAAAAAAAAGAUAUUUGACACUUA